GGCGCCCCGAGCCUUCCUCCUGCUGCUCUCAGGGGCCCUGACCCUGAUCGACACCUGGGCGGGCUCCCACUCCAUGAGGUAUUUCAAAACCGUCAUGUCCAGUCACGGCCGCGGGGAGACUCAUUUCAUCGUCGUCGGCUACGUGGACGACACGCAGUUCGUGCGGUUCGACAGCGACGCCGCGAGUCCGAGGAUGGAGCCCCGGGCGCCGUGGAUGGAGCAGGAAGGGCAAGAGUAUUGGGAAGAGCAGACAAGGAACGUCAAGGACACCGCACAGAAAUUAGAAGCAGAACUUAACACACUGCGCAACUACUACAAUCAGAGCAAGGCCGUGUCUCACACCUACCAGUGGACGCACGGUUGCUACGUGGGGACAGACGGGCACCUGCUCCUCGGGUACAGUCAGUACGCCUACGACGGCAUCGAUCACCUCUCCCUGAACGAGGACCUGCGCUCCUGGACCGCGAUGAACACGGCGGCUCAGAUCACUCAGCGUAAGUUGGAGGCAGCAGGUGCGACUGAGCAGCACAGACACUACCUGGAGGGCACAUGCGUGGAGUGGCUCCUCAGACACAUGGAGAACGGGAAGCAGACGCUGCAGCGCAUAGAACCUCCAAAGACACAUGUGACCCACCACCCCAUCUCUGACCACGAGGUCACCCUGAGGUGCUGGGCCCUGGGCUUAUACCCUGCGGAGAUCACCCUGACCUGGCAGCGUGAUGGGGAGGACCUGACCCAGGACACGGAGCUUGUGGAGACCAGGCCUGCAGGGGACGGGACCUUCCAGAAGUGGGCUGCUGUGGUGGUGCCUUCUGGAGAGGAGCAGACAUACACAUGCCAUGUGCAGCACGAGGGGCUACCUGAGCCCGUGACCCUGAGAUGGGAGCCGCCGCCUCAGUCCACCAUCCUCAUCGUGGGCGUCAUUGCUGGCCUGGGUCUCCUUGGAGCUGUGGUGGCUGGAGCUGUGAUCUGGAGGAAGAAGCACUCAGGACAGAUCCCACAUAGGAACCACUGCCCCUGCUGCUGGAUGCAGAUGUCACUACUCACACCACUGACACCCUUCGUGAAGGACACUGGAUCCUGCGGCUGGGACUUCUACCGCCACUGCUCCUGGCAACUGGAUAUUGUUGCUGCCACUCAUGCCACCCUUGCCAAAUGCAUUCUGCGCAGUUCCAGCCUCUCCAUGUCACCACAUGCUGAGUCAGAGUCUGACGUGGUCUCCUGA